rnacentral:rRNA from 1 species
UACGUAGGGACCAAGCGUUGUUCGGAUUUACUGGGCGUAAAGGGCGCGUAGGCGGCAUGACAAGUCACUCGUGAAAUCUCCGGGCUUAACUCGGAACGGUCAAGUGAUACUGUCGCGCUAGAGUGCGGAAGGGGCAAUCAGAAUUCUUGGUGUAGCGGUGAAAUGCGUAGAUAUCAAGAGGAAUACCUGAGGUGAAGACGGGUUGCUAGGCCGACACUGACGCUGAAGCGCGAAAGCCAGGGGAGCAAACGGG